UACGUAGGGAGCAAGCGUUGUCCGGAAUCAUUGGGCGUAAAGCGCGCGUAGGUGGCUUCGUAAGUCCGUUGUGAAAGUCAAAGGCUCAACCUUUGAAAGCCGAUGGAUACUGCGGAGCUAGAGUACGGAAGAGGCGAGUGGAAUUCCUGGUGUAGCGGUGGAAUGCGCAGAUAUCAGGAGGAACACCUAUGGCGAAGGCAGCUCUCUGGGACGGUACUGACGCUGAGACGCGAAAGCGUGGGGAGCGAACAGG
rnacentral:rRNA from 1 species